rnacentral:tRNA from 1 species
AUUUUUCUAGUAUAAACAGUACAAUUGACUUCCAAUCAAUAAGAUUGAUCAUUGAUCAAGAAAAAUA